rnacentral:misc_RNA from 1 species
AAGGAUAUAUGAAGAGAUGCAAAAGAUUGAGAAACAACCAACAAAUGAUAAUGAGACUGGUCCUACUCCAGAUGAUGUCUUAGAAGAGGUGUUUGGCGUUAGAUCUGGUUAUGUUCGUGGUAAAGGAUUAGGAUACAAAGCAAGCACUAGAGGAAUGGCAAGUGGUUCUAGAAAUGAGGAAUUAAAUGAAUUGAGAGACGAGGUAGCAAGGUUGAAUGCUCCUUUGAAGGAACAAGAACAACGCAAUAAUGAGAUAGCACAACUAAUUGCUUGACUCAAGGAACAAGAAGAGCGCAAUUUGGAGUUUUUUAAAAGAUUUGAGAGUGUGAUAGGAUACAAAUCAUCAAAAAGUUAGGAUAUAACAAUAGUAAGUACUUUUUAGAUAUAUUUAAUUUCAUGAAUUAGAAAAAUUACUUUUUGAAUGACCUUUUAUUUAAAUAUAUAGUAGGACUAACAGAUCAAGUGAUGAAGGCUUGCAGACUAACAAUAAAGUUGAAUUAGAGUUUUAACACUUCUAUUAUCAUAGGAGUUUUAUUUUGAAUAUUAUCAAAUAUGAACAAAUUAGGAAUAAAAGUAGGUAGAUUUAAGUUUAUUUUGAAUACUAGCUACGUGCACUUAAAAAUUACUGUUAUAUCAUACUUUAAAACUUUUGUUGCGUUUUAUUAUUGAAUAUUAAUUUUAUCAUAUAGUUGUUUUGAAUUAAAUAUGAAAUUUACGUGUAACAAUAUUUUUAAUAAUUAUAAAUAUACUAUCCCAAUAUUAAAAGCAACUUUAUAGGGGACAAAAUAUGAGGAUAUGAGGAUGAAAAUUAUCCCUAUUUAAUUUUUAUCAGGGGACGACUGUUGUCCCCUUAAUAGUAAGGGAUGACUAUGGUCUCUAUAAUUGGGGACAAUUAUUGUCCCCUUUAAAUAGGGAUGAAUGUCAUCCCCUUUUGAUAGGGGGACGAUUAUGGUCCCCCUUGAGUUUGGACAAUGGGGACGACAAUCAUCCCCAUGUUAGGGGACGACUAUAAUUGUCGUCCCCAUAUUAGGGACGACUAUUGUCUCUUUUUUUAGGGACGACAUUAUGAUCGUCCCCUAUAGAAUAGGGUACAGAGGUAAAGAGGACAACAGGUGGGGACGAUUAAUGUGUUAGUAAUAUGCCGUAGAGCAUAUCAUUCAGUAUGUAUCUUGUACAUCUUUUAUUAAUAAAAGACAUUUUUACUUUUCUGUUUACAUAAUAUAUUUAUGUAUAAUAAAAAAGG